UUUUUUUUUUUUUUUUUGUUUCUUGUUUUUUGUUUUUUAAAUGUCUCCAAACCUCCUUGUCCAGACCGUCUCCGCCUGACAGGUUUUCUAGGUCACCUUAGACUGCCUUGAACAGAUUGAGCUAGCUCUGCAGUGACAGGAGAGUGGCAGGCUCCCGAGACCUGACUCUGAACUAACUAGGUCACCCCAUGUCUAUGUGUGACUGCUGAUAACGUUGACUAAGGCUGACAGUGGCAGGCACUGUUGUCCUGUGUGCUGAUUCAGCUGACAUAAUUCCGAAGCAGGGGCUUUAAGAGAAGGAAUGAUUUCUCUAAGUUACAGGUGCGGAGCAUUCAGAACUGGGUGCACGAGAUAUUACUGAGUCUGCCUGCGCCCGGAACCACUGUGCUUGCUCUGCCCUGUCAGGCCUGGGCUCCUGGCCUUCUUUCUAGACCUCUUCUUGAUGGUGGUGCUCUCGCAUGUUUAUGAGACGUGGACUGUGACAGGGAAACGAGUAGUCCCUGGAAGCAGUCUGGACUUAAUGAAGGUCCUUGUAACAGUUAAUAGGACCAGAACAAUUAGUCUCGCCUGCUUAGCUUCCCAGUUGUCCAUGGCCUCUUAAUACCAGACAAAAUAGCUGUUGUUAUAAGCAGUCAUGGUGGUGGGGACUGUCUAGCUGAGUUUAGCAAAAGACAAUCCUUAGGUUCAGCAGCCUGUGAGGAAGGACUACCUCCAUGUUUGCUCUUGGUGACUUGAAGGAUGCGAGAGUAUGUGUGUGGGCUAUAUGUAAAUACUGCACCAUUUAAAUAAGGGGGACUGGCACUUGCCAGGAUUUGGGAAUAUACGGAGGUCCCUCACAUAGCAUGCCAGGCAUGAAGAAUGUCUGAAGGGUUUUGUUGCAUGUUUUAAUGGUCCAGUCAGCUGCCUUGUAUCCAGCCCUUCCCUCAGCCCAAUUCAGUGCUCUCUUGUUCCCCACAGAGCUGGAAGUGGCAGGUCUCUUGGAUGUACAUAACUCACCUGAAUACUGUGUUGUUUUGAUUUUCUAGUACCCAAGGUUGAAGCCAUAAAGAAAAGACUGGGUUCCCUGGCAGAUGAGUUUAAAGAACUUGUCUAUCCUCCAGGUUAUAAUCCCGAGGGAAAAGUUGCCAAGAGAAAACAAGGUAAGGGCUGGGUGUGGAUAGAUGCAUAUGCUCCCUUUAAAGGUGCUUCAUGGUCUUACCUCACGGUGAUUUGUCUCCUUUCUCUUCAUUUUGGGAAUGGUGGUGGGUGUACUGUGGGGGUGAGGAGGUCAAAGUCAGGACUUCACACAAGCAAGCAAGCAGUGGUAUCACUGAGCUGCAGCCGGGUCUUCUCAGAAAUUUGUAUAUAUGGCAUACCGUGGCUCAGUGUUACAAAUCCUUGCCUAGAAACUUCUACACAACUGCAUUUUGGCACAAAUGGAGUGCUUAUAUUGUUUCCUUGUGUGGGGGAGGGAGAGGUAGUAUGGGCACAUUUGUGCCAUGGCACAUGUGUGCAGCUUGAAGCACAACUCUGUGGAGUCAGUUUUCUUCCAUCCUUAUGUGGUUUAUAUGGCAAAUACUUGGAUCUGAUGAACCAUUCACUAGCCCACUAUUUUACAAAAUUUCUUUUAGAUUUAUCUUAUUACUUUAUGGGUGUUUUGCCUGUAGAGGUUAGAAGAGGGUAUCAGAUCUCUGGGAACUGGAGUUCCAGGUGGUCAUGAGCUACCAUGCAACUCUGGGUACCAAACUCAUUUUGCAAGAGCACAAAAUGUACUUAAACCUUAGGCCAUCUCCAGUUUCUCUACCUCAUCUUUAAAAAUUAGGCUGCUGGGCUGGAGAAGAUGGCUCAGUGGUUAAGAACACUGACUGCUCUUCCAGAGGUCCUGAGUUUAAUUCCCAGCAACUACAUGGUAGCUCACAAUGGGAUCUGAUGCUCUCUUCUGACAUGUCUGAAGCUACAAUGUACUGUAUUUUAUAUAUAUAAAAUAAAUGCUUUAAAUAAAUAAAUCCUUUUAAAAAAAUUAGGCUGCUGAGAUGGCUCAGUAAGGCAUUUGCCCUGUGCAAGUCUAGUAACCUGAGUUGCCUCCCUGGAACCCAAAUAAAAGUGGGAGGAGAGAACUAAUUCCACAAAGUUGUUCUCCUAUGUCCACACACCCAAAUACACAAUAAAAAUGUUUUUAAAGUUAGGUUGCAGUCUACUUAGGGUAGGUCAGUGGCUAGGAAUCCCUGCUUCUUAUUUAAUGAGACCUCUUUUUAGGGCAUAUUCUACAGUGAACUAGUCAAUGAGAGACCCGACAUCAAGGGAGGAAGGUGGGGAGGCAGAGAUGAGGACUCAACAUCCUCCCCUCUGGCUUCUACAAAGACAUGCACCUAUACCCAAAGCAAGCCAGUAAGGAACAUCUCUCCAUGGCCUCUGCAUCAGUAGGCUCCAUGAGCCAUCUUUCUAGCCCCUAAUUAUCUAAAUUUCUAUAAAAGGAAGUGACAGAGGGAAUAUAUGCCCUGCUUUGAUGUCUAUGUAGUUCUCUAGUUGGGAGUGGAGUAGUUUCAUUAGGCUUUUUUCUACCUGGUCUCUGAUCCUGGCACUGACCACUUGCUAUAGGACAGGGCUUAUUACUGGUAGACCCCAAGCUUCCUCUACUAUGAGGAAGAAGCACUUGUAAAGCAGCACUGGGCACAGUCACCAUUUUGGAAUGGUUCUGGAUUGUUCUUUUGACUAAGUCAAGUCAUAUUUAAGCCUUGUUACCUAAUACAUCCAUGAAGAAAGCCAGGUCAGACUGGGACCAUCCUGCUUGUACCAUUUUGCAUCAGAACCAACUCUGUCAUGUCCUGGAAGUUGUCAUCAGACAUUGUCUGUGGUUUUUUGCCCUGCUGGUUUUAUUGCCUGGUGCCUCAGAACUUAACACAAUGUUUCUCAAUGUUUUUUCCCCUUACCCUUUGGAUGUGCUGGAAUUUAAAAUGGGGUCUAGCAAUGCUGUACUUCUAGUCCCUGUACAUUUUUUUGGGGGAAAAGAAGCAGGGCAGUGGUGGCGCAUGCCUUUAAUCCCAGCACUUGGGAGGCAGAGGCAGGUGGAUCUCUGAGUUCAAGGCCAGCCUGGUCUACAGAGUGAGUUCCAGGACAGCCAGGGCUAUACAGAGAAACCCUGUCUUGAGAAAAACU
rnacentral:lncRNA from 1 species